rnacentral:tRNA from 1 species
GGCCCCUUCGUCUAGAGGCCCAGGAUACUGCCCUCUCAAGGCAGAGACACGGGUUCGAAUCCCGUAGGGGCUA